CCCGGGCCACUCUCUCUUCAGUGUGACUUUAUUUUUCUUUGGUGGGCCUGAAAGUGUUUGGGGGUGAGGUAGAAGUUGUGACAGAAGGGAGGAUAUUUCUUUGAGAGGCCGUUGGAGGUCUGACAGGACUGCGGUCUGAUAAGAACCAGAGACCAUGGAGGGACUGACGUGACCCGGGUGCAAUCCCGCGGGGGUGAAGCGCACGUGGCAGCAGCUGAAGAUGAAAUAUAAGAACAUUGUUCAAACAGCCAACAGAAAGAAAGGAGAUGCCUGUAAAAAGGGAGGUGGCCCAGCAGCACCACCUGUAACGGAGGCAGAGGAGCUGGUCCUAAGCCAGAAUUUGGGAAGGCCAGUGGCUGAGGGAAUCCCUGGAGGGAGCUCAUCCUCUGAGACCACAUCCCAAGACACAACUAUUCUGAUGGUACUAUCUGCCUGGUGGAGCCCCUUCAUGCCACAACAGACCUUAUAACUGAUGAAGAGGAUGAAACUGUGUCUGCUGCCUUUACAGAGGGGGAUCCAGAAAGGCAUACAGAGAGCAUGGCUGGACAGCAGCAGGAUGCUUCCUCAACUUCCACUGCACAGAUUGACACAGUGAGAUGGAUGUUCAGUAAACACCAGACGUUCAUUCUGUGGAAUUCAUGUGCAACUGUAUAAUUUAAUGUCCUUUAUGUAUU